CUCGUAGGUGGCCAACUAAGUCAGACGUGAAAUCCCUCGGCUUAACCGGGGAACUGCGUCUGAUACUGGAUGGCUUGAGUUUGGGAGAGGGACGCGGAAUUCCAGGUGUAGCGGUGAAAUGCGUAGAUAUCUGGAGGAACACCGGUGGCGAAGGCGGCGUCCUGGACCAACACUGACACUGAUGAGCGAAAGCCAGGGGAGCAAAACG
rnacentral:rRNA from 1 species